UGGGCUCCGAUGAUGGCAUGAAAUCUUUGAGACCUGACAUUCUUGUGAUGACAAACAUAAGCAUAUUUCCUGAGGACCCCA
rnacentral:snoRNA from 1 species